GCGAAGUAGUGAUAUGGAGCAAAACCCUAAAAGUAGUCUCAGUUCGGAUUGAAGGCUGAAAUUCGCCUUCAUGAAGCUGGAAUUGCUAGUAAUGGCAGGUCAGCAUACUGCCGUGAAUACGUUCCCGGGCCUUGUACACACCGCCCGUCACACCAUGGGAGUCGGUAACGCCCGAAGUCAGUGACCCAACCGAGAGGAGGGAGCUGCCGAAGGCGGGACUGGUAACUGGGGUGAAGUCGUAACAAGGUAUC
rnacentral:rRNA from 1 species